rnacentral:rRNA from 1 species
AUUGAACGCUGGCGGCAGGCCUAACACAUGCAAGUCGAACGAGUGGCGGACGGGUGAGUAAUGUCUGGGAAACUGCCCGCUGGAGGGGGAUAACUACUGGAAACGGUAGCUAAUAACGCAUACCAUCGCAUUUGCCCAGAUGGGUUUGGCUAGUGGGUGGGGUAACGGCUAACCUAGGCGACAAUCCCUCGCUGGUCUGAGAGGCUGACCAGCCACACGGGAACUGAGACACGGUCAAGACUCCUACGGGAGGCAGCAGUGGGGAAUAUUGCACAAUGGGCGCAAGCCUGAUGCAGCCAGGCCGCGUGUAUGAAGAAGGCCUUCGGGUUGUAAAGUACUUUCAGCGAGGAGGCGUUACUCGCAGAAGAAGCACCGGCUAACUCCGUGCCAGCAGCCGCGGUAAUUC